GGUCUUGUAGUGAAGUUCAUGUUGAGUUGCAAACUCAUUGAUGUGUGUUGAAGGCACACCGGGACCU
rnacentral:tRNA from 1 species